AGCAAUGUGGCGCAGCGGAAGCGCGCCGGUAAGCAACUUCAAUCCAGUAUCUAGUACCAUCAACUAAUCAACAAUAGGGCUCAUAACCCGGAGGUCCCUGGAUCGAAACCAGGUAAUGCUA